rnacentral:rRNA from 1 species
UGGGGAAUAUUGCGCAAUGGGGGGAACCCUGACGCAGCCAUGCCGCGUGAAUGAAGAAGGCCUUCGGGUUGUAAAGUUCUUUCGGUAUUGAGGAGGGUUGAUGUGUUAAUAGCACAUCAAAUUGACGUUAAAUACAGAAGAAGCACCGGCUAACUCCGUGCCAGCAGCCGCGGUAAUACGGAGGGUGCGAGCGUUAAUCGGAAUAACUGGGCGUAAAGGGCACGCAGGCGGUUAUUUAAGUGAGGUGUGAAAGCCCUGGGCUUAACCUAGGAAUUGCAUUUCAGACUGGGUAACUAGAGUACUUUAGGGAGGGGUAGAAUUCCACGUGUAGCGGUGAAAUGCGUAGAGAUGUGGAGGAAUACCGAAAGCGAAGGCAGCCCCUUGGGAAUGUACUGACGCUCAUGUGCGAAAGCGUGGGGAGCAAACAGGAUUAGAUACCCUGGUAGUCCACGCUGUAAACGCUGUCGAUUUGGGGAUUGGGCUUAGAGCUUGGUGCCCGUAGCUAACGUGAUAAAUCGACCGCCUGGGGAGUACGGCCGCAAGGUUG